GCCCAAUCCUACCCCGCUCUCCUCUCUCCCUACGCCCCUACCUUCCUCCCUCCUUGAUGGAGCCCGAAACUCUAGCUCAUCUGUUCCAUGGUUCCGGCCAUGGAUGGGGAGACCACGGACGCGGCAGCCGCCGUCCCACCCCGCACCUAUUCCGGCGAUGACGAUGCUGAAUCCGCAUCAGCAGCAGCCGAUCUGCACCCAACAACGACGGCUGCAGCUCGAUGGAGGAUGUAGGCUAGCCGCAUCGCUGGGUCCAACCAGGGCGUGGCACACCUGGAACCUCGCUGCCGCGGUGGUGCAGAACCAGCGCCGUGGCGGGCAACAACAGCAGCGAGUUCCAGCCUCCAUCUCACCUUCCCCGCCCCCAUCGCUGCUUAAGAUACUCACUUGUUCCCCUAUCCCUCAUGCUCCGCAAAUCCCCGAUGGCAUAUGAGAAGGGAGGAUAAAGAGACAGGGGAGCUCUCGGGGAGAUGACUGCUAAAUCGCAGCUACCACAAAAAACACAGGCCAACACCUCGGACAUAACCCAUGCACCGGCCACCGUGAUUUCGCAUAUGGCAUGUUCUAAUCACUAGAGUGAAAGGCGAGCUCCAGACUUGGUAGAUGAUGUGAGGGAUGGUGUAUACUGCAACACAUUGUAGAGCUUACCAUAUCCACUAAGUCUGUAUUUACUACCAAGUGCAGGCAGAGUGAAGAACUACAAUCUGAAGAAAGCAAGCAUCAACAAGGCUGAUACUGCUACUCUAUUUGAUCAUCCACUUUGCCGCAGUUUGGGCUAAGCAAGGUGGUUGGACACUAGGGGAGCAGUAUUCCAAGAAAUUGAUUUCUUCGUCUGAUUUAGGGUGGUCUUCAGAAUCUGACAAGAAAUUGAUGUUUACAACACAAGAUUCCUGACCAGAAGGGGAACAAGGCAGCAAUCACCAAGUAAGUUUUGCUCUGACUUUCUUUUGCAGAGUUAAUUGGUCUUAAACUUAAUUUCCAGGG